UACAGAGGUCUCAAGCGUUGUUCGGAUUUAUUGGGCGUAAAGGGCGCGUAGGCGGCGGGUUAAGUCGGGUGUGAAAUCUCAGGGCUCAACCCUGAAACUGCACUUGAUACUGCUCUGCUUGAGGACUGGAGAGGAGACUGGAAUUCACGGUGUAGCAGUGAAAUGCGUAGAUAUCGUGAGGAAGACCAGUGGCGAAGGCGGGUCUCUGGACAGUUCCUGACACUGAGGCACGAAGGCCAGGGGAGCAAACGGG
rnacentral:rRNA from 1 species